GAUGAAGAACGUAGUGAAAUGCGAUAAGUAAUGCGAAUUGCAGAAUUCAGUGAAUCAUCGAAUCUUUGAACGCACAUUGCGCCCGCCAGUAUUCUGGCGGGCAUGCCUGUCUGAGCGUCAUUAUAACCCCUCAAGCUCAGCUUGGUGUUGGGGCCUGCCGCACGGGCAGCCCUUAAAAUCAGUGGCGGUGCUAUCUGGCUCUAAGCGUAGUAAUUCUUCUCGCUAUAGAGUCCCGGUGGAUGCUUGCCAUUAACCCCCAAUUUUCUAUGGUUGACCUCGGAUCAGGUAGGGAUACCCGCUGAACUUAAGCAUAUCAAUAAGCGGAGGA
rnacentral:misc_RNA from 1 species